AGCGAACGCUGGCGGCAGGCUUAACACAUGCAAGUCGAGCGGGCAUCCUUGUGGUGUCAGCGGCAGACGGGUGAGUAACGCGUGGAAACGUGCCCUUCGUUUCGGAAUAACUCAGGGAAACUUGAGCUAAUACCGGAUACGUGCGAGAGCAGAAAGGUUUAUCUGCCGAAGGAUCGGCCCGCGUCUGAUUAGCUAGUUGGUGAGGUUACGGCUCACCAAGGCGACGAUCAGUAGCUGGUCUGAGAGGAUGAUCAGCCACACUGGGACUGAGACACGGCCCAGACUCCUACGGGAGGCAGCAGUGGGGAAUAUUGGACAAUGGGGGCAACCCUGAUCCAGCCAUGCCGCGUGAGUGAUGACGGCCUUAGGGUUGUAAAGCUCUUUUAUCCGGGACGAUAAUGACGGUACCGGAGGAAUAAGCCCCGGCUAACUUCGUG
rnacentral:rRNA from 1 species